AGACCACAAAUGGAGUUCCUAUCUUGAGAUCAUAUUGAUGAUCCAAGUAGCUCCCAUCCUUUGGAAUAUGCAAGCAAAAUAAAUGGCUAAAGUCCUAAUCAUACAAGAGAUGAGGGAUAAGAAACAAGACCACAAAUGGAGUUCCUAUCUUGAGAUCAUAUUGAUGAUCCAAGUAGCUCCCAUCCUUUGGAAUAUGCAAGCAAAAU
rnacentral:lncRNA from 1 species